CUUUGAGACGAGAAAGAGGGCAUUGUCGAGGACGGAAGAGAGAAGGAAAAAGGCUCGACACUGUGCAACCAGGCUUACAGGAACAAUGACGUGGGCCUCGAAGUGGGGGUCAAACACUGCGUGUGGAGGAGGUGGUAAGGCCUCCUCCACAUGGGUAAGCUUCGCUCUACUCUGUUUUUUAUCUUUUUAUCUGUAUUUUCAUUGCCUUGGUGUUUGGUUUUUUUUCUCGUUCUCGGCUUUGUGUCCUUACCAUCUAGGCGCUCGUGCGGAUUUUAUGACACGCCAUGGGCAACUCAUCUGGAGGACAGUCCAAUAACUCGCAACGUCCGGAUGGAUUAUAGAGGUUGCGGGUAAUAUUAACCCUAAUUUGUUCAAAGAUGCCCUUGUCGAUGAAGUUUUCUUUGCUCCAACCGACGCGCUUUUUGAUCCGGUGAGUGAUUCUGGCUCUGGUUCUAAUGGCGGAGAGGUUAGACGAGCUGUGGAUGUCGAAAAUUGCCCGGCUCGCAGAUUUCUUGAUGAUUGGAUUAAGAAUAUUGGAUUUAAAAACUAGGGUAUCAUGUCUCUUUUUGUCGUAUGUUGCAAAAAGGGUUGUUUGUUAUUUUCUUCAGGGAUGCAAAAUCCCAAUCUGCAAUUGUGCAAAAGCAAAUCUGGACUAUAAGGAGAUGUAAUUUCAAGGCCCUUAAUUGGACUCAUGAUGCAGUCAAUGAGGAAAUUUUGGCACUCUCGUGCUUUAGAUGGUUAGAAUUAAAAAAUAUCGCUCCGCUGUUGUGGAAUUUUAUUCUGUAAAUUUUGCAACUCAUUGGUAGCGUUAUUAAAAUCGACCACACUUCUCUUGUGCCACAUCUUGACGCAAGGGUUCUAGUUUCAAUCAACCUAGGUCGGGAGCUUCCGAGAUUCAUUGAUAUCAAGCUCGAAGAUGGCCUUAUUACUUGUCUUGUGGAAAUCUUAGGAGGCAUUAAUGCUUAUUUUCUGUGGAGACGAGAAGGGCAUAUUACGCAUAAUUGCUCUAUUUUGUCUGCUAGGAAGCCGAAAAAUGAUAAGGCUAUUCCUAAUGACUCUAAACCUAUCAGGGAUUCUGUGGCUAAAACCCCCACUAAUGAUGAUAUUGGGAAUUCUACUCCUUUUCUUAUGAAUAAAUUGGAUGAUCUCAAACAGGGCGUUGAAACGGCUAUCUUGGAACCUGCCUCAAAACCCCCUGAAUUUGAUCACUCAACCCAAUUUGCGGUGUUUACUAAUGAAUCCCCUCCCCACUCGGUUAUUGUUGAGGCGAUCUCCCAAUUAGAGGAGACCAAUAAAAACUCUCCUCAAUUUGAGAUGCCUAAAACUUGCAAAAUCUAGAGGGAAGAAUGCUCAACAAUUGGUCUUUAGAUAAGAUUAAAAAAGCUAUUCGGGAUAAUCAGCCCAAAGGAUCGAUGAUUACAAUGCUCAACCCCCGAAACAGUAAUUUGCUAAAAGUAAAAAGGAUUCCCUGGUUAAGUCUAUUGUCCAAGAUUUCGAAAACAAGGACCAAACCUCUUAUAACCUGAAGGGAUGUGGGGAAAAGAGCUCCUCCCCUGUUACUAGUAACCCUAUUAAGGUUGCUAAUAGAUUUGAGUUUUUAAGAGAUGAGCCUUUUGCUCCUCCGGUUGGUUUUGAUGUUAGAAAUGUAGAAGGUGUUGAUCAUUCCCUUGUAUCCCUCCAGUCUAUUCAGGGUGCCAAUUUUUACUCUGCUAAACCUGUUAUUGCAGAAGACAAGGACUCUACCUUUUUUGAUAUUAUUGUUGUUGAUCCUACAGCUAGGACAUCUACCCCCCCUUCUCCCAAUUCGGCCAGGGAUGGUGAUUCAGAGCCUAAAAGUUUUGCAGAUUCAAUUGGUAUUAAUGACCUAGAGUCUAAGUUGGAUACAGAGUGGAUCUCCAACAACUCCAUCUCUAAAUGGGGAGACUGAGAGAGAAAUGAUCUUCCUAGAUGAAGGUGAACCAACUGGAAAGAUAGAGACUGAAUCCUCUGGGAGGAAGAAGUCGCCCCGAGUGAGAAGAAAAAGAGGUAGACCGAAAGGAUGUAAAGGGAAAAUCUCCCUCCUCCCUAAGAAAAUUGAUGCUAAUACAGAGCUCCCCAAAUGUUUUAGCAGUUUUAAGGUUGCCAAAGGCCUUGAAAUUCUCUAAGUCUUGAUGAUGAAGUGUAUAUGGAAUAUUAGGGGAAUGGAAUCCCCAGUCAGGAAACGUGUAGCAAGAAGGUUUAUGAACUAUCACAGAGUUGAAAAUAUUGUCAUGUUGUAGGAAAUGAAAGUAGUUAGUUUCACUCUUGAGGUUAAUCGUAAGUUCAUCUUGAAGGACACUUACAAUAUUACCACCGAACAUGAGAAAGGCAAAGGAGGCCUUGCAUUGCUUCUGAAUCCUAAAUGGAGAGAUGCUAUUGUGGAGUAUGGAUCUUCUCCCUAUGAGAGAGAAGCUUGGGCUAUCAUUAAGGUUGAAACAGAUAAGAUUGGGAUAUGCUUUGUCUAUGCCUCCAAUGAUUAUUGUGAGAGAGGAAGUAUGUGGCAAUGGAUAAGCACUCUGCCUAAUAUCCCCUAGAUUGUAGGAGGAGACUUCAACAUGGUUGUGUAUCCGGAGGAUAAAUAAAGUGGGUUGAAAAUGGAGUGAAAGGGGAUAGAGAAGAUUCACUGAGACAGAAUGAAGGGAAUGAAGAUACUUUUUGACCUCUUGGAGGGAUUGAAAAGAGAGUAUGGGGGCAUAUGAUAUACAUGGUGCAAUACGUAAAAAGGUCACAAGAGGAUUUAUAGCGGACUUGACAGGUAAGGAUUUUGACUCCUUUCAACGGGUUGACAAUGGUACCACUAUGAAAGUUUUCCCCUUCACUCACUUAGAUCACCACCCCAUUGUCUCAUAGACAUGUAUCAAGAAUAGGACCCAGAACAAGGAAUGCUCCAAAGGUAAAUUCAUAUUAAACACUUCCCUACUUGAGGAUCAAGAGGUCCUUGUUGCAAUCUAUAUUGUUAUCCAAUACAAUAAAUGGAGGGUGGGGCACAAGUCUACUAUUGACCGAUGAAAUCAAAAUAUUAGAAGUUGGCAGUGGCUCCUAUCUAUUGUGGGUAGGAAGAAAGCCAACGAUGCCAGAUUAGAGAGAACCUUAAUUGACAGUCUGCACUAUUUGGAAGCUUAGGUUCAACAUGACCCCAACAAUGUUAGUAAAGCUCAAUGUAUGGCCUUCACCAAGGAUCUGUUGAGGAAAGUGCAAUAAAACAUGAUUGUUGGAACUAAGAUCAGAGCUUGGGCUAAUUGGUUGCAACAUGGAGAUAAAGGUUCUAAAUUCUUCUUUAACAUGUUGAAGUAAAAAGAGUAUAGAGAAAAGAUUGAUUGUCUUUGGGUGGAUGGCAAAGAGAUUGUGGAUAUUGAUGAUAUUAAGAAUACGUUUGUAACCAUCUAUAAGGAAUUGUUUACAUUCGAAGAGGGUCCUAAAAUUGACUCAGCUAGGCAACGAUUUAAAGAGUUAAUCCCACACUUGGUGUUUGAUGCAAAUGCCUCUGAGUUGAGGAAGCCAAUCUCUAUUGAUGAAAUAAAAAAUUCAAUCAGGGCUCUAAACAAUGGAGAGGCCCCUAGGUUGGAUGGGCUUUCGGUCGAGUUCUACAAAGCCAAUAUUGACUAGAUAAGUAAAGUGCUUAUAGAUGUGUAUGAGGAAGCCAUUGAGGUAUGAUCCCUUGGCAUGGAUAUCAACAAGGGACUCAUUAAACUCCUCCCUAAAGAGGGUGACGAGUCCCUCAUAAAGAAUUGGAGGCCUACAACCCUUCUUAAUGUCUCAUACAAAAUUCUAGCCAAAAUUCUGGCUAUUAGACUUGUUAAUGUACUGCCUAAUCUUAUAUGUUCUACUAGGAUGGGAUUCAUUAAAGGAAGAUAUAUACUUGAGAAUCUAAUUACAAGUUGGGAGGCCAUGGAGUUCACUAAAGUGUCCAAAAAAAAUGAUGCCAUGUUCUUAUUGGAUUUUGAGAAAGCUUACAAUCGAGUUGAAUGCGGAUGCAUCAUAAUGAUGCUAGAAGCUUUUGGAUUUCCUGUGGCAUUUUGCCACCUUGUGCAAAUCCUUCUUAAGGAUGCAUCCACUCAGCUUGACAUAAAUGGGUCUACUUCCGAGACCUUUUAACUAGGGAGAUCUAUUAGACAAGGUUGCCCCCUUGCUUUGACCUUAUUUGUCAUAGUAUCUGAGGCAAUAUACUCUCUCCUAAGGGAUAAUUCGAUCUCACCUAGAGUGAAAGGUAUUCAACUUCCAAACAAAGAGGAUCUCUUGAAUAUCCAAUUUGCUGAUGACAGGGCUCUUUUUUAAUAGCUUGAGGAAAAUAAUAUGGACUCUCUUAUUAAUAAGAUCAAGAUCUUCAGUGAAGCCUCCGAGGCCAAAAUCUCACAAGCUAAAUCUUUUUUACUGGGAUGGCAUGACUCCCCACUUCUUGGGUUAACAAUUAUGGAUAUCAAUGGGGGGGGUCUUGCAAGAAGGUUAGAUACCUUGGUAUCCCCUUUUUUGUUUCCCCAUGUAUGAAGGAUAUGUGGUGUUGGGUUAAGGACAAACUGAUCAAGAAGCUUAGCAAGUGGGACAUGCAUUACCUGUCCCUAGCAGGGAGGAUCCAUAUGUGCCAGAAGAUCCUUUCUUCAUAUACCAUCUACUAUACAUCGGUGUGGAUGUAGUGUAACUACCAAGUGCUGGAGGUACAUAAAUUUAUAAGGAACUUCUUAUGGUCGAAUGGGAGAGGUGGUAGAAAGUGACAUUCUAUUAAAUGGGAAUGGUGCUACAAGGAGAAGGAAAAUGGUGGUUUGAGGAUUAAAGAUUUAAGAAUUCAUGGGAUAGCACUUGCGGCCAAAUGGAUUGUCCAAUCUUUUAGUGUCAAUGAGCCAUGGAAAGUCUUGGUUAGGAAUAACAUCAUGGUGGUAGUACCCAAGCAAGCCAAGGCAUGGAAGAAUCUCCCCUUUAGUGACCUUGUUGCUAGGAAUUUUCGAGUAUCUAUCCCAGGCUCCUUGGUGUUCAAAACCAUUUGGAAGGCGUGGGAGUAUGUAAGGGUGUAGAUCUCUAACUAUAGGGUCAACAACAGUCUCUUUAUCAGUGGUGAGAGGUCCAUUUGGUGGAACUUGUUUCAUAAAGGGAAACCUCUCGCUCUUGUUCAAGGGUGCUCGGCUAAGAACUGCGCUAACAAAGGUAUUAAGUGCUUUAAAGACCUCAUCAAUAGGGAACGAUGAUCCCUUGGGCUGAUUUAUCCUAGACCUUCUCCCUGCAUACAUCUAAUUGGAGAACAUACUCCAUUUUAAGGGAGGCCCCAAGAGUUGCCUAGUGGAUAAUGAUAGACUCCUCAAUUUCACUUGGAACGAUGGCACCUUGCUUAAUAAUGUCAAGGCAAAAAAAAAUUACAAUUCUUUAACUGCAAAUAACUCCAUAAUUUAUCAUAUUAAUGAUGUUUGGCAUAUUGAUUGGAUUGAUAGCAAAUGGAAGCACAUUUUUGAAAAUUUAUGGAGCAACAAAGUUGCUCCUAAGAAGAAAUGUUUUAAAUGGAUGUUGAUUAUUAAUAGGCUUCCUUGUAGAAUCGACAAAAUUCUUUUGAUAUAUGUAAUUUCUGUAAGGUGACUGAGAAUAUCCAGCAUCUGUUUUUUCACUAUAUCAUUGCUAGGGAGAUAUGGCUCCUAUUUGGUUUUUCCAUUUCUGAACAUUAUUACUAGUUCUAUGCAAGGAUUGAAGAAAGAUUGUAAUUUAUUUUGGUUUAUUCUUACUUGUGAAAUUUUAUGGUACAUAUGGAUUAUCAGAAAUGAAGAUAAGUUCCAAGGUAGGGCUAGAAAUCUUACUGAGACUUUUUGUAGACUUACUUUACAUUAUGUUGAAUCGCAGGUUACACUAGUAAUGAGACUAGCCACAAAGAAGUUUGAAAGAUUCUUGGAGGAUGCUCAUACCAGGAUAUACGUCUUAGAACUCUCAUAUGAUUUCACAUGGAGCAGGGAGAAUUUAGAAAGGACCCCCUUUGUCAACACCCUUGCAGCUUGUGUAGUAGAAAUCAAUGAAGGGAGGAGGGUCGAGAAAGAAUUCAUGGCUCAACUUGCCACACAUGGAGCAGUCCUAGUGAGGCAGGGAAAACAAAUUAUAUGGAUGGAAGGUCCGCUUGGUUGGACCUCUUGGAUUGAUAACUAGUUAGCUAGCUAUCCCCCACUUUUUGGAUGUAUAGCAUUGUGUAUAUGGAGUAUUUUGUUCUCAGUUCUUAUACUCAGCCAUUCUCUUUAGUCUAUAUAUUCAAUAUAAAGUCUGAAGUUGAAAUUUUA